UGUCUCGCACAAUUUCUCUCUCAGCUGGAAAGGGCAGAAAUGGCAAAGUGGUUCCUGGGCUCUGCAAGCUUGGUCGUAUCAUGGGCUCUCCAGGAAACUCUGUGAAUGUGGCCUUAGGAGGAGGACAGAACUGCCCCAGAGAGAAUCAAGGCUCCCCUCCACACUAGGUUAAAUGUCCUAUUCCUCAAAAAGGCUUGAUUCCCAAGCACGAACCAAGGGAUAUUCUUCUUGCUCUGUCACUCUGUCUUGACAAGGCCACAGGUGCUCCUGGGGUUGUUAUAGGGCAUAUUAUGGAGCAGACUUGGACUUGACAGACUAUAAAAAUACUACUACCAAAAAUUCUCUCUUACUCAGGUGGGCUUCGCGACCCCCCUCUCCCUUCAGAUCCUUUUUUAUAUCAUUUGUUCUUAUAGACGCCACAGGAGAAAAAUGUCAACAGCUCUCCAGCUAAACCGUGUUGAAACCGCUGGGCCUGAGGUGACGCGAGCAUAAACAGUGGGUGCUGGGGGAAGGGAACGCUGAGAAGGUCUAAGGACAGUUUGAUGGAUCACUGCAGAAGGAAGCUAGCUCUAAGCCUUGUUCUCCUCCCUAGAGCACCUCCAUGGGGAAGACUGCAGGAUUUUCCAGUCCAAGAGACCCUGAGGACAGAGCCACAGAAGUCUCAUCAGUCCUGAGAACCUGGUCCUAGAUGAGGUUCUACUGCUCAUGAGACAAAGGCAAUGCAAUGAGGGUGUGUGAAGCCCCUGGCAUGACCAUGAGAGGAAAAACCCCAGUUGCGCACCUCAGUGAUGGCUUUGUGUAAAUUUUCUUCCGACUGUACAAGCAGGCUCACAUCCAGCAUGCUCCACGGCAUCCUCAUUUGUCAUUUCCCUGGUCACUGGAUGUCCCUUUGCUCUCAGCAUGACCCUCUGGAGGAGCCCCGUUCCCCUUGUGUUGGUAACUGGUCAUGUGCUGUCUGAGCUGGAUGAGGAGCUGGCCCUGGAAGGCCUGUGAAGAAGACACGGAGCCAGAAGAGGCGUGGGUUUCAGUGCUACUGACCUGUGG